CAUCAAUAGGAAUAUCAAGAAACAUUUAUUCAAUUUACGGACAUUGAGGGACAUUUAUUAAAUUUUUGCAUCUAAGGUGCCAAGGGUCUUCACUGGACAUCGAGGGAUAUAAACUCAAUUCACGGACAUCGAAGAAUAUACCAUCAAUUAGGAAGCAUAUACUCACCAAGAGGUUCACCAGCAUACCACUCCACAAAGAAGGGCAAUCC
rnacentral:lncRNA from 1 species